CGAGUAAGCCAGAUGGUCGCUGCUGCAUUAUAUGCAGGAGAGGAAAGUCCGAGCUCCAUAGGGCAGGGUGCUGGGUAAUACCCAGUGGAGGCAACUCUAAGGAAAGUGCAACAGAGAUAUACCGCCUAUUUUAAUAGGUAAGGGUGGAAAGGCGAGGUAAGAGCUCACCAGCGCAAUGGCGACUUUGCGGCUAUGUAAACCCCACUUGGAGCAAGAUCGAAUAGGAAGACAUAUGGGGCUGCCCGUCCCGUCUUCGGGUAAGAUCGCUUGAACCUAUUGGUAACAAUAGGUCUAGAUAGAUGACCGUCUAAUACAGAACUCGGCUUAUAGGCUUAGUCGCAUA
rnacentral:RNase_P_RNA from 1 species